UACGUAGGUGGCAAGCGUUGUCCGGAUUUACUGGGCGUAAAGAGCGCGCAGGCGGCCGCGCAAGUCGAGUGUGAAAGCCCCGGGCUUAACUUGGGAAUUGCGCUCGAAACUACGUGGCUGGAGUGUGGCAGAGGAAGGUGGAAUUCCACGUGUAGCGGUGAAAUGCGUAGAGAUGUGGAGGAACACCAAUGGCGAAGGCAGCCUUCUGGGCCAACACUGACGCUUAUGCACGAAAGCGUGGGGAGCAAACAGG
rnacentral:rRNA from 1 species